rnacentral:rRNA from 1 species
UGCAGUCGAGCGGCAGCACGGGUACUUGUACCUGGUGGCGAGCGGCGGACGGGUGAGUAAUGCCUAGGAAUCUGCCUGGUAGUGGGGGAUAACGCUCGGAAACGGACGCUAAUACCGCAUACGUCCUACGGGAGAAAGCAGGGGACCUUCGGGCCUUGCGCUAUCAGAUGAGCCUAGGUCGGAUUAGCUAGUUGGUGAGGUAAUGGCUCACCAAGGCGACGAUCCGUAACUGGUCUGAGAGGAUGAUCAGUCACACUGGAACUGAGACACGGUCCAGACUCCUACGGGAGGCAGCAGUGGGGAAUAUUGGACAAUGGGCGAAAGCCUGAUCCAGCCAUGCCGCGUGUGUGAAGAAGGUCUUCGGAUUGUAAAGCACUUUAAGUUGGGAGGAAGGGCAUUUACCUAAUACGUAAGUGUUUUGACGUUACCGACAGAAUAAGCACCGGCUAACUCUGUGCCAGCAGCCGCGGUAAUACAGAGGGUGCAAGCGUUAAUCGGAAUUACUGGGCGUAAAGCGCGCGUAGGUGGUUCGUUAAGUUGGAUGUGAAAUCCCCGGGCUCAACCUGGGAACUGCAUUCAAAACUGACGAGCUAGAGUAUGGUAGAGGGUGGUGGAAUUUCCUGUGUAGCGGUGAAAUGCGUAGAUAUAGGAAGGAACACCAGUGGCGAAGGCGACCACCUGGACUGAUACUGACACUGAGGUGCGAAAGCGUGGGGAGCAAACAGGAUUAGAUACCCUGGUAGUCCACGCCGUAAACGAUGUCAACUAGCCGUUGGGAGCCUUGAGCUCUUAGUGGCGCAGCUAACGCAUUAAGUUGACCGCCUGGGGAGUACGGCCGCAAGGUUAAAACUCAAAUGAAUUGACGGGGGCCCGCACAAGCGGUGGAGCAUGUGGUUUAAUUCNAAGCAACGCGAAGAACCUUACCAGGCCUUGACAUCCAAUGAACUUUCCAGAGAUGGAUUGGUGCCUUCGGGAACAUUGAGACAGGUGCUGCAUGGCUGUCGUCAACUCGUGUCGUGAGAUGUUGG